GGGGAUUUAGCUCAGUGGUAGAGCACUUGCCUAGGAAGUGCAAGGCCCUGGGUUCGGUUCCCAGCUCCCCA
rfam:Rattus norvegicus chromosome 10, whole genome shotgun sequence.